UGUAACGUGCAGCACGGACUUCCUGUGCUAGAUUCGAGGGAGAGGGGAGAGGGAGAAAAGGAUCGGAACGUGCCCGGGGGAGGGGGACCCUAGUCGAAAGAUUAACUAAUACCGCAUUCUACCUGAGGGUGAGGGAGGGGGACCGCUUGGGCUCUUGCUAUGGGAGCGGUCGAUGUCUGAUUAUGUAGUGGGUGGGGUAAAGGCCCACCACGGCGACGAUCUGGUCUUGGACUGAGACGACGAUCACCCACACUGGGACUGAGACACGACCCCUACUCCUACGGGAGGCGGGGAAUUUUAAUUUUGGACAAUGACCCUGAUCCUGAUCCGCCAAUGCCGUGUGUGUGAACCUCGCCUUCUGGAUGUCAAGCACUUUUGUCCGGAAAGAAAUGGCUCUGAUUAAUUUCUGGUGUCGAUGACUGUACCGUAAGAACAGGGACCGGCUAACUACGUGCCCGCGGCCGCGCUAAUACGUAGGGCCCAAGCGUUAAUCACAAUUACUGAACGUAAAGCGUGCGCAGGCGGUUGUGCGAGACCGAUGUGAAAUCCCCGAGCUUAACUUGGCAAUUGCAUUGGUGACUGUACGGCUAGAGUGAGGGGGAGGGAGUUCCAAUUCCACGUGUGACAGUGAUAUGCGAUAUAGAUGAAUACGAAUACCGAUGGCGAAGCCAGCCCCUUGGAUUACCAUGGACGUUCAUCCAGAAAAGGUUGGGAGCCAACCAGGUUUGAUACCCUGGUAGUUCCCGCCCUUAAAGAAGUUAAAUUAGUGGUGGGGAUUCAUUUCUUUUGUUAAGUAAGUUACGGGUGAAAGUGGACCCCUGGGGGAGUCCGGUGCCAGGAUUAAAAUUCAAAGAAAUGGCGGGGGACCCCCCCAACCGUUGAAUAAUGGGGAUAAUUUGAAGCCAACGGAAAAACCAUAACUACCCCUGGCCAUGCCAUGAAUAAGCAAAGAAGCUUUGAGUGCUCGAAAGAGAAAGUGCACACAGGUGCUGCAUGGCUGUCGUCAGCUCGUGUCGUGAGAUGUUGGGUUAAGUCCCGCAACGAGCGCAACCCUUGUCUUUAGUUGCUACGAAAGGGCACUCUAAAGAGACUGCCGGUGACAAACCGGAGGAAGGUGGGGAUGACGUCAAGUCCUCAUGGCCCUUAUGGGUAGGGCUUCACACGUCAUACAAUGGUGCAUACAGAGGGUUGCCAAGCCGCGAGGGGGAGCUAAUCCCAGAAAAUGCAUCGUAGUCCGGAUUGUAGUCUGCAACUCGACUACAUGAAGCUGGAAUCGCUAGUAAUCGCGGAUCAGCAUGCCGCGGUGAAUACGUUCCCGGGUCUUGUACACACCGCCCGUCACACCAUGGGAGCGGGUUCUGCCAGAAGUAGUUAGCUUAAGGGUUACCAUGUUACGACAUAUUGGAGACCCGACUCCA
rnacentral:rRNA from 1 species